rnacentral:ncRNA from 2 species
AUUAUAUAUAUUGAUUACCCUCAUAUAUGUUCGAAAAUAAGGUUCGGAUGUCUCUACCAGGUUACCGUAAAUGACUUGACUAUGAAGGUGAAUGACAGCGUG